UACAGAGGUCUCAAGCGUUGUUCGGAUUCAUUGGGCGUAAAGGGUGCGUAGGUGGCGUGGUAAGUCUGGUGUGAAAUCCCGGGGCUCAACCCCGGAACUGCACUGGAUACUGCCAUGCUUGAGUACUGGAGAGGAGACUGGAAUUUACGGUGUAGCAGUGAAAUGCGUAGAUAUCGUAAGGAAGACCAGUGGCGAAGGCGAGUCUCUGGACAGUUACUGACGCUGAGGCACGAAGGCCAGGGGAGCAAACGGG
rnacentral:rRNA from 1 species